rnacentral:tRNA from 1 species
GUCUGUGUGGUGUAGUUGGUUAUCACACUAGUCUUAUAGACUGGAGGUCCCCAAUUCAAACUUGGGCUCAGACA